rnacentral:rRNA from 1 species
CUACGGGUUGCUGCAGUGGGGAAUAUUGGGCAAUGGGCGCAAGCCUGACCCAGCAACGCCGCGUGAGGGAAGAAGGUUUUCGGAUUGUAAACCUCUGUCCUUGGGGACGAAGAAGUGACGGUACCCAAGGAGGAAGCUCCGGCUAACUACGUGCCAGCAGCCGCGGUAAUACGUAGGGAGCAAGCGUUGUCCGGAAUUACUGGGCGUAAAGGGUGCGUAGGCGGCAUAUUAAGUCAGGUGUGAAAUACUCGGGCUCAACCCGGGGGCUGCAUUUGAAACUGAUAUGCUUGAGUGUGAGAGAGGAAAGUGGAAUUCCUAGUGUAGCGGUGGAAUGCGUAGAUAUUAGGAGGAACACCAGUGGCGAGAGCGACUUUCUGGCUCAUAACUGACGCUGAGGCACGAAAGCGUGGGGAGCAAACAGGAUUAGAUACCCCAGUAGUC